rnacentral:rRNA from 1 species
UGCGUAGGCGGCACGACAAGUUGGUAGCGUAAUUCCAUGGCUCAACCGUGGAACUACUACCAAAACUGUUGAGCUCGAGUGCGGUAGGGGUAUGUGGAAUUCCUAGUGUAGCGGUGGAAUGCGUAGAUAUUAGGAGGAACACCGGAGGCGAAAGCGACAUACUGGGCCGUAACUGACGCUGAGGCACGAAAGCGUGGGGAGCAAACA